AGCUCUGAUAUGUCUUCUCCAGAUAAUAAAGGUGACUCUCUGGGGUCUGCUUGGGGAGGAGCAAUGCGGAUAUAACUGGAAUACAUUGUGAAACUACCAGAAUCUGCUGUGAGUGGUGAGUUGUUGAAAUGUUGUCUUCACAGUGAUGGUUCAUGACUCUCAUUCUCUAGCAUGAAGACAGCAGCCUGGAGUGGACUGAGUAACAGCUGUGUUCAGGUCUCUCCUGUGAUGUCCUGAGCCCUAAGUAUUCUUUACACAACAGCGUCGGAUGUACUCUCCAACCUUCCUGGUCCAGUCAAACACUGGGGGACAUCUGAAUCCUGUCAGCAGCAUGCUGCCCUGAGCUGCAGCUCCUCACUUCCACACUGAGAAUAAGAAUCUGAAUGUGAACUUCAUUGUUAACAUCCUUGACCUGAGGGUUGAUUAAUAGGUAUAUAAGGGAUUGAGAAUACUUAGAGUUUGUGAAGGAAUUAAAUGGCAAAUGGAGAACUUUC